UACGUAGGGUGCAAGCGUUGUCCGGAAUUAUUGGGCGUAAAGAGCUCGUAGGCGGUUCGUCGCGUCGGCUGUGAAAACCCGGAGCUCAACUCCGGGCCUGCAGUCGAUACGGGCGGACUUGAGUGUUGCAGGGGAGACUGGAAUUCCUGGUGUAGCGGUGAAAUGCGCAGAUAUCAGGAGGAACACCGGUGGCGAAGGCGGGUCUCUGGGCAACUACUGACGCUGAGGAGCGAAAGCGUGGGGAGCGAGCAGG
rnacentral:rRNA from 1 species